GAUGAAGAACGUAGCGAAAUGCGAUAAGUAAUGUGAAUUGCAGAAUUCAGUGAAUCAUCGAAUCUUUGAACGCACAUUGCGCCCCUUGGUAUUCCGAGGGGCAUGCCUGUUCGAGCGUCAUUACAACCCCUCAAGCUCAGCUAGGUGUUGGGGCCUGCUGCACUGGCAGCCCUUAAAAUCAGUGGCGGCGCCAUCUGGCUCUAAGCGUAGUAAUUCUUCUCGCUAUGGAGUCCUGGUGGAUGCUUGCCAUCAACCCCCAAUUUUUCUAUGGUUGACCUCGGAUCAGGUAGGGAUACCCGCUGAACUUAAGCAUAUCAAUAAGCGGAGGA
rnacentral:misc_RNA from 1 species